CCUGGUGUCUAUAGCACGGUGGAACCACACUGAUCCCUUCCCGAACUCAGAGGUGAAACGCUGUUGCGGCAACGAUAGUCUGGGGGUUGCCCCACGCCAAAAUAGCUCGAUGCCAGGU
rnacentral:rRNA from 1 species